rnacentral:rRNA from 1 species
CUAACGAGGAUUUCCUUAGUAACGGCGAGUGAAAAGGAAAAAGCCCAACGCCGAAUCCAGUAGACAAUUUAGCUAUAUGGAAAUGUGGCGUAUAGGUACAAUUGAUCGUAGCAUAUUUUUGCACCCAAAGUCCCCUUGAGCGGGGCUACAGUCCAUAGAAGGUGCUAGACCUGUACGGGUGAGGAAAGUUACGAUAGAUUGUACUCUGGAGUCGGGUUGUUUGAGAUUGCAGCCCAAAGAGGGUGGUAAACCUCAUCUAAGGCUAAAUACGACCACGAGACCGAUAGCAAACAAGUACCGUGAGGGAAAGUUGCAAAGAACUUUGAAGAGAGAGUUCAAGAGGGCGUGAAACCGCUGAGAUGGAAACGGAUAGAGUUAACGAAACUUAUUGGUAUUCAACCGAUCAAUUUAGCAGUCUUAACUUUGUCAUUACUCAUUGGUGCAAGUUGAUGAGUAAGAUGAACGUAAAAGUGCUAAAUUCUUGAAAUGAUUGGUGUAUUUACCGAUAGUAUGCAUCGAGAGCUUCGUUUACAGCAUAUAUUUCAUACAUUUAGCGGACCAAUUAUUUCCAAUUGAUAAUCGGAAUCCUAAAUGUAUUGUUUGCAUAUGUCUUGGAUGAAGUUCUCCCCAAUAUGUAACUCUCAUUUGAAAUAAUAAUGACAUGCAUUGAAUAUGAUCUUUGCCAAUUACAUUUUCGUAUGGUCGCAUGCGACUUAUCAGCGUAGUGCAAUUGGCAAUGUUAUAUGCGUGAUAUUUUUGAGUUACAUCUCGAUGUGGACGUUAAUCACCUAUCCGACCCGUCUUGAAACACGGACCAAGGAGU